AGAUACAAGGGUGAUGUCACCCCACUGACUGCAGGGGUUGAGCGCAUAUUUGGCUAGCUGGGAGGAUGUCUCUUUCUUCCCUCGCCACUCCAUGUGUCCCCUAGUGGCUGAGUGAUUGGGCAAAGAGAACAACCAUCCCCGCUGGAGAAGGAUGGACCAGUCCUGGGAGGACGUAGGGUAGUGCAGCUUCUAAGACUCCAGACACAUCUAAAUGAGGUGCUGCAUGUGUUAAUCUGCAUUUUCUU
ensembl:misc_RNA 7SK 7SK RNA